GAUGAACGCUGGCGGCGUGCCUAAUACAUGCAAGUCGAGCGAACGGACGAGAAGCUUGCUUCUCUGAUGUUAGCGGCGGACGGGUGAGUAACACGUGGAUAACCUACCUAUAAGACUGGGAUAACUUCGGGAAACCGUAUCUAAUACCGGAUAAUAUUUUGAACCGCAUGGUUCAAAAGUGAAAGACGGUCUUGCUGUCACUUAUAGAUGGAUCCGCGCUGCAUUAGCUAGUUGGUAAGGUAACGGCUUACCAAGGCAACGAUGCAUAGCCGACCUGAGAGGGUGAUCGGCCACACUGGAACUGAGACACGGUCCAGACUCCUACGGGAGGCAGCAGUAGGGAAUCUUCCGCAAAGGGCGAAAGCCUGACGGAGCAACGCCGCGUGAGUGAUGAAGGUCUUCGGAUCGUAAAACUCUGUUAUUAGGGAAGAACAUAUGUGUAAGUAACUGUGCACAUCUUGACGGUACCUAAUCAGAAAGCCACGGCUAACUACGUG
rnacentral:rRNA from 1 species